CCUACGGGAGGCUGCAGUGGGGAAUAUUGGACAAUGGGGGGAACCCUGAUCCAGCCAUGCCGCGUGUGUGAAGAAGGCCCUCGGGUUGUAAAGCACUUUCAGUGAGGAAGAACGCCUGGUGGUUAAUACCCAUCAGGAAAGACAUCACUCACAGAAGAAGCACCGGCUAACUCCGUGCCAGCAGCCGCGGUAAUACGGAGGGUGCGAGCGUUAAUCGGAAUUACUGGGCGUAAAGCGCGCGUAGGUGGCUUGAUAAGCCGGUUGUGAAAGCCCCGGGCUCAACCUGGGAACGGCAUCCGGAACUGUCAAGCUAGAGUGCAGGAGAGGAAGGUAGAAUUCCCGGUGUAGCGGUGAAAUGCGUAGAGAUCGGGAGGAAUACCAGUGGCGAAGGCGGCCUUCUGGACUGACACUGACACUGAGGUGCGAAAGCGUGGGUAGCAAACAGGAUUAGAUCCCUAGUAGUC
rnacentral:rRNA from 1 species